rnacentral:lncRNA from 1 species
AUGUUUGGUUUGUGUAGUAUUAAGAAUAAAAUAAUGUUCUGUUUUCCCCCCUUCUUUUUUUCCACUUCAAAUUGUCACCCUUCUUGGGUAAGUAAAAAAUUUAUUUGGCGCAUGAUGCAGAUUGGAAAUGCAGUGAUUAACGAUGAAACUGAUUUAAGAGGAAUGUACGACUACUUAGCAAGCCACGCCCUCAUUUCAGAUCAAACUGCAAAUAAAAUCAACAAAUAUUGUGAUUUUUCACCCAAUGCAACAAAGCAGCCUAAGGAGUGCACUGAUACCGCUGAUGCUGCAGCUAAGGAUACCUAUUACAUUGACAUUUUCAACAUCUAUACCUCCUCAUGCGUUUCCUCCAACCUCACUGCAAAACCCAAAAAGGCUUCAGUAAGUUAAAAACAACGCCCUUAAUUAUACUGCAUGUAGGUAUUUACCAUCUGCUGUUUUCAAAACAUUUUGUUGUGUUGAACUGCCGAGCUGCAGAUAUUCGAAUUCGACCCGUGCAGCGAGUACUAUGCUUAUGCUUAUUUGAACCGGCCAUACGUUCAACAAGCUCUCCAUGCCAAUGUCACUAAACUCACACAUGACUGGGAACCAUGCAGUGAUGUUAUCACAAACUGGGCCGAUAGUGCAUCGACCGUACCGCCCCUUUUAAAAGAGUUCCUGGCUAAUGAUGUUCGAGUGUGGAUUUUUAGGUGAAAUUUUGAUACUCUUCUUCUUCUUCAUCAUCUUAAACUUGUAAUUUGCUUCUCUGGAGUUUCAGUAUUUGAACUCUAAAGCUAAUCCAGCUCAUUCUUAUGGAAGUGCAGUGGAGACAUAGAUACAAGGGUACCAGUCACUUCAACAAAAUAUUCUAUUGAAAAGCUGAAUUUUCCAGUAAAGACUGAAUCGCAUGCUUGGUUUCUUGGUGGAGAGGUAGCUUCUCAUUUCCCCGUCGUUUUUGUCUUCGGAUUUUCAAAACCACGUCUUUGAAAGUCUUUGGCGUUAAUUAUUUUGGAUGUUUUAUUCAUAUAUAUAUAUAUAUAUAUAUAUAUAUAUAUAUUAACAGGUUGGUGGUUACACACAAGUGUAUGAAGGAGAGCUAACAUUUGCUACAGUGAGAGGGGCAGGGCAUCAAGUGCCAAGCUAUCAGCCUGCAAGAGGACUUUCCCUCAUCAAGCACUUCCUUGAUGGCACACCACUCCCUAAUACUACAAGACAUACCUAA